AGAGUUAAACAGCACGUGAAAUUGUUGAAAGGGAAACGAUUGAAGCCAGUCGUACCUGCGAACAAUCAGCUUUUUGGGUGUGAUUAUGUGGUUCGUGAGGAGUUAACCUCCCUCGUGUGUUGCAUAUUCGUGCUCUUGGGUGUACUUGUUCGUGUGGUAGGUUAACAUCAAUUUCGGACAUCAUAAAAUGAUUGGGGGAAUGUAGCUUUGAUCUUGUAUUGAAGUGUUAUAGACUCUGGUAGAUGUGAUGUACGAGAUUGAGGAUUGCAACGGAUACCCUUCGGGCUACCCGUCUGAUCUCUGAAGGUUGCUCCGGUGCCGAAAGCUUGCUUACGGUCAUCGAAAGUGAUGGUCAAAAGGUUAGAACGGGUUAAAUUCGUUAAGGAUGUUGACUUAAUGGCUUUAAACGA
rnacentral:misc_RNA from 1 species